rnacentral:siRNA from 1 species
UGACGAUUGGAUAGAAUGGUGUA